rnacentral:rRNA from 1 species
CCUUUUCUUGCUCAUUCCGCCUAUAUACCGCCGUCUCCAGUCUACCCUGUAAAGGACCCAUAGUAGGCGAAAUUGGUACAGCCCCAGACGACAGGUCGAGGUGUAGCGUAUGAAAAGGGAAGAGAUGGGCUACAUUCAGUGAAGCACUGAAUACGGAAAGCUAAUUGAAAUAUUAACUUGAAGGUGGAUUUAGCAGUAAGAGGGGAAUAGAGAGCCCCACUGAAAUCGGCCCUGAAGCGUGUACACACCGCCCGUCACUCUCCCCGAGCAGAAAAACUCUUUACCUAAAAAGCCAAAGAAUGUAAAGGGGAGGCAAGUCGUAACAUGGUAAGUGUACCGGAAGGUGCACUUGGCUAAAAAUAU